UACGUAGGGAGCAAGCGUUGUCCGGAAUCAUUGGGCGUAAAGCGCGCGUAGGUGGCCCCAUAAGUCCGCUGUGAAAGUCAAAGGCUCAACCUUUGAAAGCCGGUGGAUACUGUGGGACUAGAGUACGGAAGGGGCGAGUGGAAUUCCUGGUGUAGCGGUGGAAUGCGCAGAUAUCAGGAGGAACACCAAUAGCGAAGGCAGCUCGCUGGGACGUUACUGACACUGAGGCGCGAAAGCGUGGGGAGCGAACAGG
rnacentral:rRNA from 1 species